GAUGAACGCUAGCUACAGGCUUAACACAUGCAAGUCGAGGGGUAGCAGGGUAGCAAUACCGCUGACGACCGGCGCACGGGUGAGUAACACGUAUCCAACCUUCCCAUAACUCGGGGAUAGCCUUUCGAAAGCAAGAUUAAUACCAGAUAGUACUUUUUCAAGGCAUCUUGAAAAAGUUAAAGACUUAUUGGUUAUGGAUGGGGAUGCGUUCCAUUAGAUAGUUGGUGAGGUAACGGCUCGCCAAGUCUUCGAUGGAUAGGGGUUCUGAGAGGAAUGGCCCCCACGUCGGUACGGAGACACGGAGCAAACGCCUACGGGAGGCAGCAGUGAGGAAUAUUAGUCAAUGGGCGAGAGCCUGAACCAGCCACGUAGCGUGAAGAAUGAAGGUCCUAUGGAUUGUAAACUUCUUGUAUAGUAGAAUAAAGUGAUCCACGUGUGGAUUUUUGUAUGUAUACUAUGAAUAAGGAUCGGCUAACUCCGUGCCAGCCGCCGCCGUAAGAC
rnacentral:rRNA from 1 species